GCAGGUGCAUGAAUUUUAAUGAAGGGGAAUGAUGGCAGGUCUGAGUUUGAGGAGGGUGAUCACCAACAUUCAGGGUAUCUUGGGCCAGUGCUUUGCGUAGGACAAAACACCAGGUUCGUCUUUGCCAGCCACAUUUAUCCUCAUGAAGGACUGGAGACAGCACGACUGGUAAUUUCUGCAGUAGAAGUAGGUAUGCUCUAUCUUCCUGCAAGCGGUCCUGCAGACGCCCAUGCUACCCAUGCAUCGAAGGAGGGAAUGUCUUCCUGGACAAAAUAUAAAAUAACAUGACAGUGAUAAUUAAUUUCCACUUGGCAGUGACAUAGAUCUGAUGGGUCCGGGAGCAUCAUAAAAACCUAAAGGUUGACAGAGACUUCCACUUCCAGAAAAACAGUGCCAAAGUCAUUUUCUCUACUUGUCUUCUUAAAACCCUGGGCAUUAUACAUAAAUAUAAGAAUCCUCUGAAAGGUAAAGAGAAGAAGUCAAGCCAGGCAGGGACCUCAAGAUCUGAGGAACGAUCUCUUAGGUUUGAUUUUGCCUCUUAUAUUCUAGGAUGGUGCUGGAGAAGCUGGCAAUCUGGAAAUACAUGUGGGUGCAGAGAUUUUUUUAAAAAGAAGAAGAAGAAGUCCCUAAGAAAAUUCUGCUCUUUCUAGUCCAAAGACCAGGAAAAGGGCAGCCUAGCAAAACAGAACGUUUUAGACAGUAGCCUCUUUGCUCAAAAAACACAGAAAAGUCUACAGCCCCAUUCAUACCUCUAGUAAAUAUGGCCAAGUGGAGAGCUUAGACUUCCGCCCUUUCUAGAGUGAAAAGAAGCGCUGCCUCCGAGGAGGUAGCUGAGAAACCUGAGUGACAGCCUGGACCUUGACCCCUGCUGUGCAGUAACCUCCACCACCACCAGUGUCAACAGAAAUCAUGUGGGGGAGUCUCAACUUCCCCUGCCAAGUGGGAAGAGGGCAUCCUGUCUUGCAUCAGGCAACAGUUACAGGGCCACCAGCCCCUGCGAUGUCACAGGCAGGCCAUGUGGGGAACCAGGGUGAUGUCAGAGGAGGCACACCUGGGAGCUGGAACUGGCGGUGGCAGCCUGCAGUAAUGAGGAGCCACC
rnacentral:lncRNA from 1 species